AUUAAAGAUUUAUCGGUGAUGGAUGGGGAUGCGUCUGAUUAGCUUGUUGGCGGGGUAACGGCCCACCAAGGCGACGAUCAGUAGGGGUUCUGAGAGGAAGGUCCCCCACAUUGGAACUGAGACACGGUCCAAACUCCUACGGGAGGCAGCAGUGAGGAAUAUUGGUCAAUGGGCGAGAGCCUGAACCAGCCAAGUAGCGUGCAGGAUGACGGCCCUAUGGGUUGUAAACUGCUUUUAUAGGGGAAUAAAGUGAGCCACGUGUGGUUUUUUGCAUGUACCCUAUGAAUAAGGACCGGCUAAUUCCGUGCCAGCAGCCGCGGUAAUACGGAAGGUCCGGGCGUUAUCCGGAUUUAUUGGGUUUAAAGGGAGCGUAGGCCGGAGAUUAAGCGUGUUGUGAAAUGUAGAUGCUCAACAUCUGCACUGCAGCGCGAACUGGUUUCCUUGAGUACGCAUAAAGUGGGCGGAAUUCGUGGUGUAGCGGUGAAAUGCUUAGAUAUCACGAAGAACUCCGAUUGCGAAGGCAGCUCACUGGGGCGCAACUGACGCUGAAGCUCGAAAGCGCGGGUAUCGAACAGGAUUAGAUACCCUGGUAGUCCGCGCGGUAAACGAUGG
rnacentral:rRNA from 1 species